GAUGAACGCUAGCGGCAGGCUUAACACAUGCAAGUCGAGGGGUAUAGUUCUUCGGAAUUAGAGACCGGCGCACGGGUGCGUAACGCGUAUGCAAUCUACCUUUCACAGAGGGAUAGCCCCAGAGAAAUUUGGAUUAAUACCUCAUAGUAUAGCAGUUUCGCAUGAAACCACUAUUAAAGUCACAACGGUGAAAGAUGAGCAUGCGUCCCAUUAGCUAGUUGGUAAGGUAACGGCUUACCAAGGCAACGAUGGGUAGGGGUCCUGAGAGGGAGAUCCCCCACACUGGUACUGAGACACGGACCAGACUCCUACGGGAGGCAGCAGUGAGGAAUAUUGGACAAUGGGCGCAAGCCUGAUCCAGCCAUGCCGCGUGCAGGAUGACGGUCCUAUGGAUUGUAAACUGCUUUUAUACAGGAAGAAACACUACUUCGUGAAGUAGCUUGACGGUACUGUAAGAAUAAGGAUCGGCUAACUCCGUGCCAGCAG
rnacentral:rRNA from 1 species